CCAGACUCCUACGGGAGGCAGCAGUGGGGAAUAUUGCACAAUGGGGGAAACCCUGAUGCAGCGACGCCGCGUGAGUGAAGAAGUAUUUCGGUAUGUAAAGCUCUAUCAGCAGGGAAGAAAAUGACGGUACCUGACUAAGAAGCCCCGGCUAACUACGUGCCAGCAGCCGCGGUAAUACGUAGGGGGCAAGCGUUAUCCGGAUUUACUGGGUGUAAAGGGAGCGUAGACGGCAUGGCAAGUCAGAUGUGAAAGGCCGGGGCUCAACCCCGGGACUGCAUUUGAAACUGUCAGGCUGGAGUGCAGGAGAGGUAAGUGGAAUUCCUAGUGUAGCGGUGAAAUGCGUAGAUAUUAGGAGGAACACCAGUGGCGAAGGCGGCUUACUGGACUGUAACUGACGUUGAGGCUCGAAAGCGUGGGGAGCAAACAGGAUUAGAUACCCCGGUAUA
rnacentral:rRNA from 1 species